GUUUUUGGAAUGUAAGUUUCAGAGANUAAGCGAAAGUGAUAAGUUAGCCACCUGGGGAGUACGAACGCAAGUUUGAAACUCAAAGGAAUUGACGGGGGCCCGCACAAGCGGUGGAUUAUGUGGUUUAAUUCGAUGAUACGCGAGGAACCUUACCAAGGCUUAAAUGGGAAAUGACAGGUUUAGAAAUAGACUUUUCUUCGGACAUUUUUCAAGGUGCUGCAUGGUUGUCGUCAGCUCGUGCCGUGAGGUGUUAGGUUAAGUCCUGCAACGAGCGCAACCCCUGUCACUAGUUGCCAUCAUUAAGUUGGGGACUCUAGUGAGACUGCCUACGCAAGUAGAGAGGAAGGUGGGGAUGACGUCAAAUCAUCACGGCCCUUACGCCUUGGGCCACACACGUAAUACAAUGGCCGGUACAGAGGGCAGCUACACUGCGAAGUGAUGCAAAUCUCGAAAGCCGGUCUCAGUUCGGAUUGGAGUCUGCAACUCGACUCUAUGAAGCUGGAAUCGCUAGUAAUCGCGCAUCAGCCAUGGCGCGGUGAAUACGUUCCCGGGCCUUGUACACACCGCCCGUCAAGCCAUGGAAGUCUGGGGUACCUGAAGUCGGUGACCGUAACAGGAGCUGCCUAGGGUAAAACAGGUAACUAGGGCU
rnacentral:rRNA from 1 species